rnacentral:lncRNA from 1 species
CCAUGCCUGUUUAUCAUACCUGCCUUGGAGUCGACUGAUUAUGGACUGAAACUUAUGCCGAAUGUAAGCCAAAUAAACCUUUCCCCUCAAACUUUGAGUGUCAGGUUUUCUUUUUCUUUUGGUACCAGGUAUUUUUGUCCCAACAACAAGAGAAAAGUUACUAACAUACUACUGUAGCAGCUUUUUAGGACUGAAUUCAGUUACAGUACUGGUGUCUGAUGAAGAGUUACUGACCUGCAGGGAAACUGUGUACCUUAUUACAGGUACAGGAAAUGAACAGAGAAGGGAGAAUUUUUCUCUAUCAAUAAACAAAACAGAAAUACCAUACUUCAGAAAAUAUGUUUUGUCUUUCUCAGAUAGCUGAAAUGUACACAAUGCAAUUCUCCUUUUUUGAUUACUAAGAUGCAAUACUUUGUUAUUGAUUGUAGUGUGAAAUAUGUAAUGUAUCGUGUUCAAGGAACACAAUUGAAAAUGCCUUCUCUAUUCACAAUAACACAACUGUAAAUAAAUAUUUUACAUUUCAAUUGUCUAUUCUAAAGCUAUGCAUCCUCAAGCUUGAA